UACGGAGGGUGCGAGCGUUGUUCGGAAUCACUGGGCGUAAAGGGCGCGUAGGCGGCUUUGUAAGUCGGGGGUGAAAGCCUGUGGCUCAACCACAGAAUUGCCUUCGAUACUGCAUGGCUUGAGACCGGAAGAGGUAAGUGGAACUGCGAAGUGUAGAGGUGAAAUUCGUAGAUAUUCGCAAGAACACCAGUGGCGGAAGGCGGCUUACUGGUCCGGUUCUGACGCUGAGGCGGCGAAAAGCGUGGGGAGCAAACAGG
rnacentral:rRNA from 1 species